UAUUCUAUCAACGAACUGCAGACAUGCUUCUGUACAAGUAGUGUUUUAAACAUUGCAUACAAAUUUAAUUGUAUAGCAUACUUCUUAUUUUGUUAUAUAGGUGUUGAAUCUGAAUCGGAGGCAUAUGCAUAUGCAUACAGAUUUAAUAGCAUCCAUCCAUAUAUCACAAAAUCUGUUGGAUUACAUGGAAUUGACAUCAUUCAUCACACGAAGAUCACCAACUCAUGGAGUACAGGGGGCGUCAAAUCCAAGUGUUCUAUCAUUACUUGUUUAAUUCUGUCUAUGGGUCAUUGCUCUGAGAGAUCACAGGAACAUUGAGCUUAAACUUGUGCUUUCGGGACAAAGGGUUGCUGAAUUCGAUGCUAAACUUGUGCAUGAUGAUGGGAUGACGUAAAGGCAUUUUAUGAGGUGGACUGAACUACUUUGAGAUAUAUUGAUAACACUUCACACACAAAAUGAAAGGAACGGCAGGCAGAUUUAAAUAAAACAAUGUUUGAUGCUGAAUUGACUAAUGAACAGCUAUUGAAAAAACGUGAUGACAGAAUUUGUGAAGCUGAUUGGAAGGACCUUAUUAAAUAUUGGAGAUCUCCUCAAUUUGAAGUAAGUCAGGCUGCCUACUAAUGUUAUGUUAUAUUCCAGCCUAGUAAUUACCAUUGGCUCACACUGUUUAUGUACAUGAUGAUCUCAGACCAUUUUAGUACUUGUUUAAUCUAUGGCGUAUAAGGCUCCUGGUUGCAUUUAGUUUCAGUGUCAUUGCUUCAGCUAU